rnacentral:lncRNA from 1 species
GCUUUUCUGGCUUAUUUAACAAAGCAGCCUUUAAGCUGCAUACGAGCAAAUAGCACAUGACAGUUUGCUGCUAAACGAGUCAAACCCUCACUAAUGGCCGCUUCAACACAGCUCCUGUUAUGCACCUGUGUUUGCUUUGGUUCACGGUAAUGCUUUGGCCAGAUCACUAGGCUUUUACUUUCAGGGUGACGUUGCUUGACGUCUGUGACGUCACACAGAAACACGGGGACGUAUAGACAAACAAAAGGGAAAAAUCGCGCUCCUCAGUUCAGGUUCCUUCCGUGUGAAUGUUAGGAAAUAUAGCCUGGUUUCCAUCACGUGCACUGUGGAUUAGCGUUGUAUCAUGUUUUUUUUAUCCUAGUUUUCUUUAGUAAAACAAACUGAAGUACAAUUUGGUUGGCUACAGCUGUAACUCACUUUAUUAAUUACACCCAUAAUACGCAUCUUUUUUAUUCUUUUGGGCCCAUUUAUGCACUGUUGCGGAGAGUCGGUAGCUAACUUGUACUUGGGGGGUCACAUUUAGCCGAAUGUUAAGCUAACGCUAUAUCACAUCACUGCCAAUGAUAAGGAACAGGCGAAGCCCAUUUAACACAGUUACACAGUAACACACGGAAACAACAGCAACGCACACAUUUCUAUCAGAAGAGGCAACUGAAGCUGUUAAUGCAACGCUUUGAGUUACUGCGUCACGCCAGCUAGCCAAACGAGCUAACAGCUAGCUAACGUUUGUUCUGGCAUGUGGGAAAGUAGACAACAACACGGAGGAAGAAGACGCAAGAAAGAGAUGGCAGUACCAACCACAGAGCUGCAGCGGAGGCCUGUACCUGUCCUGCCCCACAACGCCCUGCACAUCAAACCUGCCGUCCCAUGUUCCUCCGGUCGGACUCUCGGGGCGCGUGCACAGACACACUGUUGGCUCGACUUGGCCUCUAGACACUGGUUAAGCUGUUUGUGAGCAUUGGUGGCUGCUUUAGUGAUGGCUGGCGAUGAUGAAGGAAGCCCUGCGGACGGUGACAUCCACCUGCUGGCUUUAAAAGCGAUAAACACGCAACCUGACUGAAUAUAAAGCUAGCUAGCUUUAAGCUAAUGCGAUUCCUUUCACAUCAGCUUGGUCCACAAAAUGCUUCAGGUCACAUUUUUUAUAAACUGAUUACUUCCUGGAACAAUAGAAAUCUGCAGUUCUAGACAAGAAUAAGAAAAACAUGUAAAUAUAAAAGUUACUAAUGAUUUCAUCCUUGCAUUUUAGCCUUGAUGUAUUUGUUUUGCCUUAUUUUGACUCAUAGAAACAAAGGACAUGUCAGGAUGUCAGACAGCAUAACCACAAAUAACAUUAGCAAACCACACACCUUGACAUAUACAAAAGACUUGCACCAAGAAAAAUCCAACACAAAACAGUGACUCAGUGACUCACUGAGUGCAUACGUGGUGUGGAAUAAAAGAGGGAUCUGGGCCA